rnacentral:rRNA from 1 species
GAUGAACGCUGGCGGCGUGCCUAAUACAUGCAAGUCGAGCGAACGGACGAGAAGCUUGCUUCUCUGAUGUUAGCGGCGGACGGGUGAGUAACACGUGGAUAACCUACCUAUAAGACUGGGAUAACUUCGGGAAACCGGAGCUAAUACCGGAUAAUAUUUUGAACCGCAUGGUUCAAAAGUGAAAGACGGUCUUGCUGUCACUUAUAGAUGGAUCCGCGCUGCAUUAGCUAGUUGGUAAGGUAACGGCUUACCAAGGCAACGAUGCAUAGCCGACCUGAGAGGGUGAUAGGCCACACUGGAACUGAGACACGGUCCAGCCUCCUACGGGAGGCAGCAGUAGGGAAUCUUCCGCAAUGGGCGAAAGCCUGACGGAGCAACGCCGCGUGAGUGAUGAAGGUCUUCGGAUCGUAAAACUCUGUUAUUAGGGAAGAACAUAUGUGUAAGUAACUGUGCACAUCUUGACGGUACCUAAUCAGAAAGCCACGGCUAACUACGUG